rnacentral:rRNA from 1 species
UACGAAGGGAGCUAGCGUUGUUCGGAAUCACUGGGCGUAAAGCGCACGUAGGCGGAUGUGUCAGUCAGGGGUGAAGUCCCGGAGCUCAACUUCGGAACUGCCCUUGAUACAGCACGUCUUGAGUCCGGAAGAGGUGGGUGGAAUUCCUAGUGUAGAGGUGAAAUUCGUAGAUAUUAGGAAGAACACCGGUGGCGAAGGCGGCCCACUGGUCCGGUACUGACGCUGAGGUGCGAAAGCGUGGGGAGCAAACAGG